rnacentral:rRNA from 1 species
GACGAACGCUGGCGGCGUGCCUAAUACAUGCAAGUCGAGCGGGCCUCCGGAGGUGCUUGCACCUCCGGAAGGCCAGCGGCGGACGGGUGAGUAACACGUGGGCAACCUGCCUUUGAGGCCGGGAUAACACCGGGAAACCGGUGCUAAUACCGGAUACGUCCUCUUUCGCGCCUGCGAGAGGGGAGAACGACGGGCAUUAAGGCCGUCGCUCAAAGAUGGGCCAGCGGCGCAUUAGCUGGUUGGUGGGGUAAGGGCCUACCAAGGAGACGAUGCGUUGCCGACCUGAGAGGGUGAUCGGCCACACUGGGACUGAGACACGGCCCAGACUCCUGCGGGAGGCAGCAGUAGGGAAUCAUCCGCAAUGGGCGAAAGCCUGACGGUGCAACGCCGCGUGAGUGAGGAAGGUUUUCGGAUCGUAAAGCUCUGUUGUGAGGGAAGAACAGCUUCCGGAGGAAAUGCCGGAGGUUUGCCGGUACCUCACCAGAAAGCCCCGGCUAACUACGUGCCAGCCGCCGCCGUAA